UGCUAUCAGAUGAGAUAGAGAAUGUUUGUCCAUCUAACAUUUGUCACAAAUGUUAUGAUACAAUAAACAAUGUCAUCAAAUGAAAGGCAUCGACAACACUUCUUUAAAAUAUGAACUGGAAACCUCAUUCUGAUAAAUGCUAUUGUUGUCAACAGGCAGAAAAACUCAAUAAAGUAAUGUGUGUCGAGGCGAAGGAUUACAGAUUCAAUAAAAAAGUAGCCAUGUCGAGGUUUGAAAAGCAAAUAGAAGAUCUUGAAAAAAUGAACUAUAAGAAUACCAGUAUUAGAGUAUUUGUUUUUGGAGACUAUGAGUUUUUUUUGUGCACUCUACGGAAUUUUAAGAGCUACAGGGGGCAUCGUUUUCUUUUCUGUUAUGCGACAUGAAAUGAAAUGUGGUAAACAUAAAAAUCCUAAAAUAAAAGAUCGUACCUUGGAAGAUUUAUUUUCUGAUCAUAAAAAAUUUAUGGAAAGUGGAGAUUAAAGAAAAAUAUUAGGAAUUUUAAUUAUGUCAUUGAAGAAGCAAUUUUGAAAAUACCCCUUGAUCAAGUAUCUUUACCUAGUCUCCAUGGCUCUUGGUAUUUAUUUGAUUUUUUUAAAUUUGUUUGAAGAAGAAGUGCAUCAGCUAGAUAUUUAAUUUGCUGCAGAAAUAUCAAAAAGCAACACUAAUUUUUCAGAAGAAUAUACAGUUUUUGUAUCAAAACAAAAAUAGCUGUUAAAUCUUCAAGCUGAAGUUCUUAAACUUGACGAUCAAAUCCAUUCAAUCAAUGUUGUUUUGUUAGCAGCUGUUAACACUUUUUAACAGCUGUGAUGUAUUUAAGGUACUUGUUUGCAAGUUUUUGAUCAAGGAAUCUUGCUGUACACCUAAACUCACACAUUUUGUGCGUGAGUUUAGGUGUACAGUUUGCAGAUCAACGUUCACUUAAGUUAGUGAUUUAAAUGUCAAUCCUUUCCUACACCGAUUAGUCUUGUUAUUACUGAGUAUACAAUAUUAUAAUUUUUGCUGUUAUGCAAUUUUUUUGGUUUAUUUUAUCCCUACUUUUUUAUUUUUUAGACAACUAUAUAAUACUCUGUUUGGAAAACAAAUAUUAGGGUUGGAUCAGAGUCCAUGCACAAAAAUGAUCGAGACUAUACUGCAAAAGCUGAAAAAACAACUUCAAGCGUAUCACGGAAAAAGUUUUGUGGGAAACCUAUGCAUAAAAUGCUAAAAAAAUCUUCAAUACUUAAGCUAUGUAACUGUAUCCCGAGGCUUGUUCAUGAUGAAGGAUAUUCAGGAACAAACAUGCACCUGUUAGCAGUUGAAAUUAGCAAUAAAUAACAACUAUUUUAUAAAU